AGUCAGGGGCGCCUGAGUGGCUCAGUUGGUUAAAGUAUGUGACUUGAUUUCGGGGAUGUGAGUUCAAGCCACAUGCUGGGUAUAGAAAUUACUU